AAAAGUGCAGUGAUGAAGCAUUUUUUGUGAACUAGAGUUUCUGAUUUGGGUUUUUCCCUUAAGUUGAAGACUAACCCUUGAUUGUUUGAAUACCCUU
rnacentral:snoRNA from 1 species